GAAAAAUAGCAUAGAAUAGUAAAUAGGUACCUGACUUGGAAUCAGGAUAGACCUGGGUUCAAAUCCCAGAAACUUCA
rnacentral:tRNA from 1 species